rnacentral:rRNA from 1 species
CCCUUAGAUGUCCUGGGCCGCACGCGCGCUACACUGACAUGUUCAACAAGCCUCCUAGUUCGACAGGAUUUGGGAAAUCUUUGAACGCAUGUCGUGAUAGGGAUAGAUCAUUGCAAUUAUUGAUCUUGAACGAGGAAUUCCUAGUAAACGCGGGUCAUCAGCUCGCAUUGAUUACGUCCCUGCCCUUUGUACACACCGCCCGUCGCACCUACCGAUUGAAUGUUUCGGUGAAGAUUCCGGAUAGGACUUUUUUGAUUUAUUUCAAUUUUGUCUUAAAAGCUAUCUAAACCUCAACAUUUAGAGGAAGGUGAAGUCGUAACA